rnacentral:precursor_RNA from 12 species
UUGCAGCACAAGGCGGCAAGGACCCCCUCUACUUUAACAUGGAGGUACUUGCUGGAUGCCUAAAAAGUAAGUGCUUCCAUGUUUUAGUUGUGGUGACUCCUAAAAGCCCAAUACUUGGAU